GUCGUUCACGUCCUUUUUCUCCUGCGGCUCUCUCAGUGGUUGUGACUUGGUUGGCUCUUUAGCAGUUGUGGUUCCAGCCUCGUGAACCACGUUUUGUGUGCGGUUAUCGCAGUCGGGGAGUACAGAAUGGAUGUGGGAGAACGGAGUCAUUUCUGGACCUGCCAGAGAUCCCCAUACAAACAUCUCCAACCUUGGCUCUCCUGACCUACAGGUUUGCUGAUGGCAUGAGCCAGCCUUUGAAUGGACUAGGAUGAAUUCUGAGCAUGGGAAAGGAUUGGUCACAUCAGGAGCCCUUGGAACUGAAAGUUUGUUGUCAAGUCAUGUCUUUGGCUUGAUCUGUCCUGUAAGAGACGUUUCUCAGCUAUGGAGCGGGCAUGGAAGGAAGGCCUUUUGAAAAAUCAGCCUGAUGAACCAGUCCCACAAGACACGUGUACUAAACCUGGCUCUCCAGGGUGCUCUUUUCUGUGAAGAUUAAAAGAUUUAAUUUCUAGCUUUGUAACAGUCUUCCUGUCUGGGAAAAGAAAAUAAAAUCCUUGA